rnacentral:tRNA from 1 species
UCCCAGGUGUCUCAGUGAUACAGAAUCUGCCUGCAGUGCAGGAGAUGCAGGUUCGAUCCCUGGGUUGGGAA